rnacentral:rRNA from 1 species
GGAUAACUUACCCUUAGGACUGGGAUAACUCUGGGAAACUGGGGAUAAUACUGGAUAUUAGGCUAUGCCUGGAAUGGUUUGCCUUUGAAAUGUUUUUUUUCGCCUAAGGAUAGGUCUGCGGCUGAUUAGGUCGUUGGUGGGGUAAUGGCCCACCAAGCCGAUGAUCGGUACGGGUUGUGAGAGCAAGGGCCCGGAGAUGGAACCUGAGACAAGGUUCCAGACCCUACGGGGUGCAGCAGGCGCGAAACCUCCGCAAUGUACGAAAGUGCGACGGGGGGAUCCCAAGUGUUAUGCUUUUUUGUAUGACUUUUCAUUAGUGUAAAAAGCUUUUAGAAUAAGAGCUGGGCAAGACCGGUGCCAGCCGCCGCGGUAACACCGGCAGCUCGAGUGGUAGCUGUUUUUAUUGGGCCUAAAGCGUUCGUAGCCGGUUUGAUAAGUCUUUGGUGAAAGCUUGUAGCUUAACUAUAAGAAUUGCUGGAGAUACUAUUAGACUUGAAGUCGGGAGAGGUUAGAGGUACUACCGGGGUAGGGGUGAAAUCCUAUAAUCCUGGGAGGACCACCUGUGGCGAAGGCGUCUAACUGGAACGAUCUUGACGGUGAGUAACGAAAGCCAGGGGCGCGAACCGGAUUAGAUACCCGGGUAGUCCUGGCCGUAAACGAUGUGGACUUGGUGUUGGAAUGGCUUUGAGUUGUUCCGGUGCCGGAGGGAAGCUGUUAAGUCCACCGCCUGGGAAG